rnacentral:lncRNA from 1 species
UGACGUCGAGCGGGGACCACAAACAAUACAAUAAUAAGUACAAAAAACAUUUAUUUGACAGCGUGUUUACUACAUAGUCUGUGAUGCGGAGUACAGUACCGGAAAGGAGACGAUGAAAAAUUAUUAUAGGUUACUUUUUAUCCAUCCGCAGUCUUCUCUUAUAUCACAGACCUUUUUCCAGUUUUCAAACUCUUCUAUGUUGUUGUUCGAAUUGGCAGCCGCGGACGUCAUUGCGCAGCGUAAAUAUUUUCGCCAUUUUCACCGGUUAAGCGGGGUUUGCCAUGGUAUCUUCCGUGGCGAUUUUGAUUCCUCUCGAUGCCUACUAUCGCUCCUCCGAGUUUUUCGCCGCUUCGACAGAGCACAUGUAUAUAAAACUAUAUUUAGAUAAGCCUCGUAUCUAUAUGGUUUAUUUGAUGAUUACGCAUCCAAUCGUCUCCUCUAGCUCGGGGCAUUAACCAGUUCGGCGUAAUUUUGGAAGUUGUAAAUUGUGCAUAUGGAUUCUCGUACAACGUGGAGGAUACGUUUCGCGUUAGAGACACGCAUUAUCAGACGAUUUUAUGCAAAUUUAAACUCGUCUCCGAGUUCCAGUUGGUUCCAGCCAACCAUUCAGCACUGAUCGCGUAUUGCUAAUGAGAUACGCGUUAGUUUCAAAUAUGAUUUCAUUGUGUAUAUAAUAUUAAUUAACUUGUUUUAAAGAAGGUUU